rnacentral:rRNA from 1 species
UACGGGGGGGGCAAGCGUUGUUCGGAAUUACUGGGCGUAAAGGGCUCGUAGGUGGCCAACUAAGUCAGACGUGAAAUCCCUCGGCUUAACCGGGGAACUGCGUCUGAUACUGGAUGGCUUGAGUUUGGGAGAGGGAUGCGGAAUUCCGGGUGUAGCGGUGGAAUGCGUAGAGAUCCGGAAGAACACCAGUGGCGAAGGCGGUUGAGCUGGGCAGUUGCUGACACUGAUGCGCGACAGCGGUGGGGAGCAAACAGG